rnacentral:misc_RNA from 1 species
UCAAGAGUCUGCGCUGAAAGUGCAGCUCGCCUCUUACCCUUGCUUAUACGCACCUUUCGUUGUUUCCUCGGCGGGGGUUCGCCCCGCCGGUGGGACGCUCAUUUAAACCUUUCGCAUCAGCAUGAAACUUCUGAACGUAACCUAAAUUUUUA